UACGUAGGGGGCAAGCGUUGUCCGGAAUCAUUGGGCGUAAAGCGCGUGUAGGCGGCCCGAUAAGUCCGCUGUGAAAGUCCAGGGCUCAACCCUGGGAUGCCGGUGGAUACUGUCGGGCUCGAGUCCGGAAGAGGAGUGUGGAAUUCCUGGUGUAGCGGUGAAAUGCGCAGAUAUCAGGAGGAACACCAAUGGCGAAGGCAGCUCACUGGGACGGUAUUGACGCUGAGACGCGAAAGCGUGGGGAGCAAACAGG
rnacentral:rRNA from 1 species